rnacentral:rRNA from 1 species
CCUACGGGGGGCAGCAGUGGGGAAUAUUGGACAAUGGGGGGAACCCUGAUCCAGCCAUGCCGCGUGUGUGAAGAAGGCCCUCGGGUUGUAAAGCACUUUCAGUGAGGAAGAACGCCUGGUGGUUAAUACCCAUCAGGAAAGACAUCACUCACAGAAGAAGCACCGGCUAACUCCGUGCCAGCAGCCGCGGUAAUACGGAGGGUGCGAGCGUUAAUCGGAAUUACUGGGCGUAAAGCGCGCGUAGGUGGCUUGAUAAGCCGGUUGUGAAAGCCCCGGGCUCAACCUGGGAACGGCAUCCGGAACUGUCAAGCUAGAGUGCGGGAGAGGAAGGUAGAAUUCCCGGUGUAGCGGUGAAAUGCGUAGAGAUCGGGAGGAAUACCAGUGGCGAAGGCGGCCUUCUGGACUGACACUGACACUGAGGUGCGAAAGCGUGGGUAGCAAACAGGAUUAGAUACCCUUGUAGUC